rnacentral:rRNA from 1 species
GAUGAACGCUAGCUACAGGCUUAACACAUGCAAGUCGAGGGGAAACGAUGAGAGAGCUUGCUCUCUUAGGCGUCGACCGGCGCACGGGUGAGUAACGCGUAUCCAACCUACCCAUUACAGGGGGAUAACCUUGCGAAAGUAAGACUAAUACCCCAUGGCAUUUUAUGGUGGCAUCAUUAUAGGAUUAAAGAUUUAUUGGUAAUGGAUGGGGAUGCGUCUGAUUAGCUUGUUGGCGGGGUAACGGCCCACCAAGGCAACGAUCAGUAGGGGUUCUGAGAGGAAGGUCCCCCACAUUGGAACUGAGACACGGUCCAAACUCCUACGGGAGGCAGCAGUGAGGAAUAUUGGUCAAUGGGCGAGAGCUUGAACCAGCCAAGUAGCGUGCAGGAUGACGGCCCUAUGGGUGGUAAACUGCUUUUAUAGGGGAAUAAAGUGAGCUACGUGUAGUUUAUUGCAUGUACCCUAUGAAUAAGGACCGGCUAAUUCCGUG